rnacentral:lncRNA from 1 species
GGGAAAUCCAAGGGUGGUCAUCUUGUUGAAGGUAAGAUGAACUUUUCAUUGUGGUAACGUUAUGUUUUCACCAAAGUAACCACAAGAAAGCAUGUAAGAAACCAAAUCCUGCAUUCUGAUAACUUCAUCCAUAUUCAGUUUCAAACAGAUUUUCUAAUGCUGCACCUCACCUUCACUGUUUUUAAGUCGAGUAUUUUCUGCAUUUGUAUGUGUGUCUCUCUCCUUUUCCCCAACCAUCACAGAAGUGAGCAUCUUCAGUGUUGAAGCUGGCAACCACCAAUGUCUUCAGGAAGGAUCUAGAUCACCUCUAAAGAGACGAAGUCAGACAUCCUUGUGCUGCAGGUAAGAUGAGACAGGGAACACCACACUGUCCUAUUGUCACCCAAAAGUCUGAAUGCUUCAACUCCAGAAACAACUUUUCUCUGAUCAUUAAUCGUUUUCACAAAGGCGCAAGGUAACAUGGGUGUGCUUCAGCUGUUUUCCCAAAGUUAAGGCCCACCUAAGCUCGAUCUAUGCCUGUUUUUAUGUUGAUAACAUGUAAGGCUGGGUCGGUGUUUCCAAAGAUGCAACAACACAAGCUUCAACGAUCAAAAACACAACAAUCAAACCAAAAACAAGGUUUAAAAAGUGUUUUCAGCCACACAACCACAAACCAACAAAGUUCACAACGAUGCUUUCAAAGACAAUAUGGAAACGAACAACAUGGUUCAUGAGGUUCUUUCAGGGACAUGAUGGUAACACAAACAAGGUUUAAAUUGUGCUUUCAGUGACCCAACAACAAGGUUUAAAUGGUGCUUUCAAUGACAAAAGGGCAAAUCAACAAGGUUUAAGUGGUGCCCACAGGGACACAAUGGUAAUACAAGGUUUAAAUGGUGCUUUCAAUGACACAAGGGAAAACCAAAAGCUAACUCAAAAGCUUAACGACAACAGUCAAAAAAUCAAGAAAUGCUGAAAACACUAAAUAAAAACCAAACCAAAAAAAGAAAAUUCACAACCAACCAGAGAAUGGUUCAGCAUCACUCAAGGUUAAAAAGGGUUUUAUGACUCUAAAAAGGUUAUUUCUGUUUUCAUGAAACUUGGUUGACACAAAAAACUGCAAAAAUGUCAGUUGCAAGUUUUACCAAAUACUUGCUGAGCCCAUCAGUAAAAAAAAACAAACAAAAUCCAAAACGCAAAAAGCAAAACAACAACUCUUAAGGAAACAACAAAUCAGCAAAGUUCACUCAGUUCUCCAAAAGGAAACCAACUCAACAAGGACAACCUCAACUUCAACUUCAGGCCUCACCCACAUCUCCUCUACAGCUUCAACUAACAUGAGGGGGACAAUGAACUGUUACCAUAAAAUGUCUGUUUUUUUUUUUUUUUAGGGUUUUUUUUUUUGUUUGUUUCUCUCUUUUUGACCCUCCAGUCUGUAAAAAUCUAAGAUGUUUGUUUUAUUUAUUUUUUUGUUGUUGUUUUGUUUCUUUUUGACCCUCCAGUCUCUGUGAAAAUCUGAGAUCUGUACUUGUCAUGGUUUUUUGUGUCCUGUUAUUCUGUACGAGGUUUUUAUGCCUCCCUUUGGCUGCACAUGUAUGUCUCUGCUUUUCCCCUAAACAUGACGGAGGUGUCGAGCCGUGGCGUUGGAUGUGCUGACCACCACCAGGUCCUGGGAGGAUCUGAUGCUGCCCCACUUCGAUGAGCUGCUCCUCCAUCCAGACUGGGAAGUUUUUAAGAGUCACCGUCAAGCUGAAGGUUUCUGAAGUUCUCUUUUAAUGAUUUUGAGAAACUUUUCAAAGUUCUUGUAGUUGUUUUCACCGAGGUCCAAACACUCCAGCUUUUCUGGGGGUUUGUAGACGCCUAAGAGAAAAUUGAUUUUAAAUCUGUCUGUUGAAUCUUUUAAGUCUGUUUCCAAUGUAGUGACCCAUCUUUCUGCUUCUCCAAAAUCUAUCUUGUGUUGUUACAGUCUACAUCCAAGAAGACCCUGGCAGACCCCAUCACCUGCUGGACUCUGAGCUCCUGCAUACUGGGUUACAGGUGAGCAUGGAGUACAGAUUCCACCACCUACAAAAAAAAACUGGUACAGCAGUUUUAUUUGAUGCAUCCAGAUUUCCUAACCCCUGCCAAUUUUAAUCUCUCCCAAACACCAGUGCUUUGCCCUCUUUGAGGGACGGAUCUUCUUCAUUCUGGACCCCUUUAACUGAAGUCUGCACCAGCACAGAAACCUGCCUCUGGACACCAUCAGACUCUACCAGAUGCCGUGGGCACCAUCCCAGAGAAACCGGUACAUAAAACAGAGAAUGAUUCACUUAUAGGUUAAAAACUGUGCCGGUCUAAAGAAUAAAUUUGUCCUUUUGUUUUAGGACUACACCGAGACGUCGAUGACCCUCUCUUGCUCCAGGAACCGGCUGAAGAAUGAAGACAAAGACUUGGUCCCCUGUUUAGAGGUAAGUCAAUCUUUGCAAGUGGUCUUGCUUAUUUCAGUCAAAGUUUUAUGGUGAUAAAUUGAUGUUAACAGUCCACUAACUGGAUCUGAUCCCUGUCUGCCUUCUGUAGUCACCACCCUGCAGGCGGACUUCCUGUCUCACUGUGAGCCCGUAGACCUUCAACCUCGUCCAGAAAACCCUUACUCAGGACAUGGUGAGUGCGCCUUUCUCUUUCAGGCUCUACUUUGAGGAGCACACAUGGGCAGCUUUCUUAAAUCCUUCUAACAGAUGAGUCCGUUAAGAUGAUG